AGGACGAACGCUGGCGGCGUGCUUAACACAUGCAAGUCGAGCGGAAAGGCCCUUCGGGGUACUCGAGCGGCGAACGGAUGAGUAACACGUGAGCAACCUGCCCUUAGCUCCGGGAUAGCUCCGGGAAACCGGAAUUAAUACCGGAUACGACCACGGCCGACAUCUGCUGUGGUGGAAAGGAUUCCGGCUAAGGAUGGGCUCGCGGCCUAUCAGCUAGUUGGUGGAGUAACGGCCCACCAAGGCGACGACGGGUAGCCGGCCUGAGAGGGCGACCGGCCACACUGGGACUGAGACACGGCCCAGACUCCUACGGGAGGCAGCAGUGGGGAAUAUUGCGCAAUGGGCGAAAGCCUGACGCAGCGACGCCGCGUGGGGGAUGAAGGCCUUCGGGUUGUAAACCCCGUUUCAGCAGGGACGAAGCGAAAGUGACGGUACCUGCAGAAGAAGCGCCGGCUAACUACGUGCCAGCAGCCGC
rnacentral:rRNA from 1 species